rnacentral:rRNA from 1 species
UGCGUAGAUAUUGGGAAGAACACUAAACAGCGAAGGCACUUUACUAGGCUAAUACUGACGCUGAGAAACGAAAGGUAAGGUAGCGAAACGGAUUAGAUACCCGUGUAGUCUUACCCGUAAACUAUGGACACUAAACGGUAAAUUUUUAAUCUACUGUUAAAGCUAACGCGUUAAGUGUCCCGCCUGGGGAGUAUGCUUGCAAAAGUGAAACUCAAAGGAAUUGACGGGGGCCCGCACAAGCGGUGGAGCAUGUGGUUUAAUUCGACGGUACACGAAGAACCUUACCAGGAUUUGACAUGCUAGAUAGUUGCUUGAAAGAGUAACGUGCCGUAAGGAAUCUAGACACAGGUGGUGCAUGGCUGUCGUCAGUUCGUGUUGUGAAAUGUUGGGUUAAGUCCCGCAACGAACGCAACCCUUGUCUUUAGUUAUUUUCUAAAGAGACUGCCUGUAAUAAACAGGAGGAAGGUAAGGAUGAGGUCAAGUCAUCAUGCCCCUUAUGUCCUGGGCUACACACGUGCUACAAUGGGAAAGACAAUGAGCUGCAAAUCUGUAAAUUUAAGCAAAUCUCUUAAACUUUCUCGUAGCUCGGAUUGUGGGCUGCAACUCGCCCACAUGAAGUUGGAAUCGCUAGUAAUCGCCAGUCAGCUAUAUGGCGGUGAGUCCGUUCCCGGGCCUUGCACACACCGCCCGUCACACCAUGGGAGCUGUUCACUCCUAAAGUCGUAUUUUCAACUUACAAAGAGAAAAAUGCCUA